GGUGGUGGUGCAUGGCCGUUCUUAGUUGGUGGAGCGAUUUGUCUGGUUAAUUCUGAUAAUGAAGGAGACUCUGGCAUGCUAACUAGUUACGCGACCCCUGAGUGGUCGGUGUCCCAACUUCUUAGAGGGAUAAGUGGCGUUUAGCCACCCGAGAUUGAGCAAUAACAGGUCUGUGAUGCCCU
rnacentral:ncRNA from 1 species